AGAAAAGAAGCCCACCCCGAACGGCACAAAAUAGGAAAAAAGAAAACCCACCCCAUCUUCCCCGUCUUGCCGUCGACGCCCCACAUCCGGCACCCCGCCGCCGGCCACCUGACCUCCCGGCGCCCCGGCUUCUUGACCCGCCGCCAGCCACCUCACCAUGCCCCUGGUUCUUUCCCUGCCACCUCCCUGCGGCCCAACUUCUUUCCUGCCUCCGGCCUCCUCCUCGCGCCCCGGCUUCUUCCCGGCCGCCGGCCUCCUCCUCGCGACCCAGCUUCUUCCCCGCUGCCGGCCUCCUCCUCUCGCCCCGGCUUCUUCCCCGUCGCCGGCCUCCUCCUCUAUCCCCGGCUUCUUCCCCGCCGUCGGCCUCCUCGUCGCGUCUCGGCUUCUUCCCCGCCGGAGCGGCCAACCACAAGAUCCGGUCGCCACAUCCCCAUGACGCCCCCAGCAACGGCGCCCGGACCUCGACACCACCUGGCUCGGGGGACCCCAAGUCCCGGCGCUGCCGACCCCUGCACUACCUCAUCCGGCGACGAUACGCGCCAUCACUCUGCCUCGUUCUGGUGGGGGGUCCAUGCCACUGCGUCAGUCCAAUACUGUCGCCGCAAGCCGGUCACAUCCGCAACGACCAGGCCGGCUGCCCUGCGCCUCAGCCCCCCGUAUGCACGCCACCAAGUGCCUCUGUGCACUACCCCUGCCUCCCCCAUCAGGUUGCAGCCCGAGCCACACGGUGCCGCAUCUUGUUGAGCUAACUGCCUUGCCGUGGUUCCAGCGGUACACAGGAGGAUGGAUGCCCUGGUGCUGUACGUCCAGUUUUGUCAGGUUUUGAUGGCGAUGCUCUUCUGCUCAUGACGCUGGAGCCCUAGUGCCCCACUACACAUGAAACGAGAGACCUGUACAGAGGUUCACCUAAAAAAAGGCUAGCAGUUCUUCCCAAAGAGACAACAGUUCUAAGAAAAGAAGCAGGAGCUGCAGCUGGUGAGCGUCUGUGCCCUGCUGAUUGCGUGCAAGUACGAAGAGAUUUGGGCUCCAGAGGUGAACGACUUCAUAUUGUUCUCCGACAACACAUAUACUAGGGAGCAGAUUCUGAGGAUGGAGAAGGCAAUCCUGAACAUGCUUGAGUGGAACCUGACAGUGCCCACACCUUACGUCUUCCUCGUGUGAUUCGCCAAGGCCGCAUCCUCCUGAGAUAAGAAGAACGGCAAGGAGGUAAAAGGAACACCAGAUUUUUAACAAAUUCUUCAGAUGUAGUACGUAUCUUCCAUUUUGCCAAAGCAGUGAGUCUAUGUGCUGAAGUUUCUUGUGUCUUCUCUUGGAUGUAUUUGUCUAAAUGGAGAGCACUGUCUUUUUUUUCGUGGAGCUGGCGCUGCUGUAGUAUGGACAGGAAUAGUGUGUUGAUGUCGAGCACAACACAGAGACAAGGGUACAUCCAACGACAACGAGUAGGCGACAAGUGUACGUGUGAGCAGCCGGAUAGUAGCAUGAAGCAGUUGAGUAGCUGUCCGUGCAUAAGAACUCAGCGUGUGUGGUUGCCAAUGAGCUCUCCUACACAGUGGUCGCCCAUGAAAAAAAGGUUCAUGUCUAGCUACAUGGAGAGUUCCAAAAAACAGAAUUGAGAAAGUCCAAACCUCCAAAGAAAGUUCUUUAACAGUAAAGAAAGCCUUGGUGUUUAUAUAUUUGUGAUUUGAGCUAUGUGAGAGUUCAUAUUGUAAGAUUAUGGUGUUUGUUUUAAAGUUCAAACUAUUAAAAGCCGUGAGGUUCACACACUGCCACGGUGAAAGUUUGUGAAUUUGGUAUAUAAAAAAGAGAAGUGUUCAUAUUGUA